UUUUAUAACGACCGCGUUUAAAGUAAAAAAUAAAUAUUAUUCGUAAAUUAACUGGAAUUAUUUUCAAUCCUAUAAAAGAUAAUCAAUGGGAUAAAUGUUCGUUUUUAAAAAAUCGAUAAUAAACGUAAUUUGAAUUACGUUGUGACCGCGGAACAUAUGAAAGAUGUAACAUAUGGUUUUGGUUAGUUAUACUUUCUCUGAACCAAUGGUUUUAACUGUUCUGCGAAUAUUCUCAUAUCCUCUGCUAUUGCAUCUUGACCACUAGGUGCAAGAACACUUAAUUCUACCAGAUAACUUUGGGAUAUAGCUUCUACACUUUCAGGACCGCUAUCAACAUUAUCACAUAAGCCUCUUAAUCUAUGAAGCAACACUUCCACAGCACUGUCUAAUACCGAGCCUUGGAGUAAAUAUUCUUGAUUUGGUAUUAUAUUUGAAUUUAAUGCAGCAC